CAGGUCUUGACAUCCUCUGACACUCCUAGAGAUAGGACGUUCCCCUUCGGGGGACAGAGUGACAGGUGGUGCAUGGUUGUCGUCAGCUCGUGUCGUGAGAUGUUGGGUUAAGUCCCGCAACGAGCGCAACCCUUGAUCUUAGUUGCCAGCAUUCAGUUGGGCACUCUAAGGUGACUGCCGGUGACAAACCGGAGGAAGGUGGGGAUGACGUCAAAUCAUCAUGCCCCUUAUGACCUGGGCUACACACGUGCUACAAUGGAUGGUACAAAGGGCUGCAAAGCGGCGACGCCUAGCCAAUCCCAUAAAACCAUUCUCAGUUCGGAUUGUAGGCUGCAACUCGCCUACAUGAAGCUGGAAUCGCUAGUAAUCGUGGAUCAGCAUGCCACGGUGAAUACGUUCCC
rnacentral:rRNA from 1 species